AUGAACUUUUAUAAAGCACCUAUCCAUAAGGGAAUGGGAGAGAUUAAUUCCAGCAGUGUCACUGAAGGUGUGUUUGUUGUAGGUACCAGAAUGAGACAUGGUUCCUGUAUUUGCAAAGAAAAUGUUUCAUGUGCGUGGGAUUCCAUUUCAGAUCUAAAAUCACAAAGGAAAAUAGGGUUGCAGUCUUGCAGAAGUACUCGAAUGCCAAGGGAAACAAUAACAUAUAGAUUAGAUAAAUUAGUUGAUCAAAGACAGAAUGUUACAUUAGCUGUACUGUGUCGGUGCCGGAUGCAAGCUGAGUAUUUCCAAAGGUAUGAUCGAUGA
rnacentral:rRNA from 1 species